rnacentral:rRNA from 1 species
CCUACGGGAGGCAGCAGUGGGGAAUAUUGCUCAAUGGGGGAAACCCUGAAGCAGCAACGCCGCGUGGAGGAUGAAGGUUUUAGGAUUGUAAACUCCUUUUGUUAGGGAAGCUUAUGACGGGAUCUAUCGAAUAAGCACCGGCUAACUCCGUGCAAGCAGCCGCGGUAAUACGGAGGGUGCAAGCGUUACUCGGAAUCACUGGGCGUAAAGCGUGCGUAGGCGGGGUAAUAAGUCAGAUGGGAAAUCCUGUAGCUUAACUACAGAACUGCAGUUGAAACUGGUACUCUGGAGUGUGGGAGAGGUAGGUGGAAUGAUCGGUGUAGGGGUAAAAUGCGUAGAGAUCAAGAGGAAUCCUGAUUGCGAAGGCGACCUGCCGGAACAUUACUGACGCUGAUGCACGAAAGCGUGGGGAGCAAACAGGAUUAGAUACCCGGGUAGUC